rnacentral:misc_RNA from 1 species
GAUGAAGAACGCAGCGAAAUGCGAUAAGUAAUGUGAAUUGCAGAAUUCAGUGAAUCAUCGAAUCUUUGAACGCACAUUGCGCCCACCAGUAUUCUGGCGGGCAUGCCUGUUCGAGCGUCAUUUCAACCAUCAAGCCCCAGGCUUGUGUUGGGGACCUGCGGCUGCCGCAGGCCCUGAAAACCAGUGGCGGGCUCGCUGUCACACCGGGCGUAGUAGAUUUUAUCUCGCUCAGGGCGUGCUGCGGGUCCCGGCCGUUAAAAGCCUUUUUUUACCCAAGGUUGACCUCGGAUCAGGUAGGAAGACCCGCUGAACUUAAGCAUAUCAAUAAGCGGAGGA